UGACAGUUAAGAGUUGUGAGGAAAAACGCCAAGAAGUGGAGGCCAGAGCUAGGGAGCUUAAUAAACAGGUGAAGCUACUUGUGAGGAAGUGGAAGGAAAUUGUGGAUGAGUGGGUAAGGUUGAAUCAACCGGGUGGAACAGCUUCUCUCAUGGCUGAUGGGGACUCUCCACCACAGAAAACCACCCAAAA